CCUACGGGUGGCAGCAGUGGGGAAUAUUGCACAAUGGUGGAGACCCUGAUGCAGCAACGCCGCGUGAGUGAUGACGGCCUUCGGGUUGUAAAGCUCUUUCUUCCGGGACGAUAAUGCCGGUACCUGAGGAGGAAGCCGCGGCUAACUACGUACCAUCAGCCGCGGUAAUGCGUAGGUGGCGGGCGUUGUCCGGAUUUACUGGGCGUAAAGGGAGCGUAGGCGGACUUUUAAGUGAGAUGUGAAAUACUCGGGCUCAACUUGAGUGCUGCAUUUCAAACUGGAAGUCUAGAGUGCAGGAGAGGAGAAUGGAAUGCCUAGUGUAGCGGUGAAAUGCGUAGAGAUGAGGAAGAACACCAGUGGCGAAGGCGAUUCUCUGGACUGUAACUGACGCUGAGGCUCGAAAGCGUGGGGAGCAAACAGGAUUAGAUACCCCUGUAGUC
rnacentral:rRNA from 1 species